rnacentral:rRNA from 1 species
UACGGAGGGGGCUAGCGUUGUUCGGAAUUACUGGGCGUAAAGGGCUCGUAGGCGGCCAACUAAGUCAGACGUGAAAUCCCUCGGCUUAACCGGGGAACUGCAUCUGAUACUGGAUGGCUUGAGAUCGGGAGAGGGAUGCGGAAUUCCAGGUGUAGCGGUGAAAUGCGUAGAUAUCUGGAGGAACACCGGUGGCGAAGGCGGCAUCCUGGACCGACACUGACGCUGAACAGCGAAAGCCAGGGGAGCAAACGGG